CCGUAGCUCAGCAGGAUAGAGCAGCGGUUUCCUAAACCGAAGGUCAGGGGUUCGAAUCCCUUCGGG
rnacentral:tRNA from 1 species